GGCGAACGGGUGAGUAACACGUGGGUAAUCUGCCCUCGGCACCGGAAUAGCCCGGGGAAACCCGGAUUAAUGCCGGAUGGCCUCUCGAGCCUUCGGGCUUGCGAGAAAAGGUAGCUUCGGCCUCCGGCCGAGGAUGAGCCCGCGGCCGAUUAGCUUGUUGGUGGGGUAAUGGCUCACCAAGGCGACGAUCGGUAGCUGGUCUGAGAGGACGAUCAGCCACACUGGGACUGAGACACGGCCCAGACUCCUACGGGAGGCAGCAGUGGGGAAUCUUGCGCAAUGGGCGAAAGCCUGACGCAGCGACGCCGUGUGCGGGAAGAAGGCCUUCGGGUUGUAAACCGCUUUCAGGAGGGACGAAGCCACUCAGGUUAAUAGCCGAGAGGGUGACGGUACCUCCAGAAGAAGCCCCGGCUAACUACGUGCCAGCAGCCGCGGUAAUACGUAGGGGGCUAGCGUUGUCCGGAUUUAUUGGGCGUAAAGAGCGUGUAGGCGGCCAAGUAAGUCCGGUGUGAAAACUCGAGGCUUAACCUCGAGAUGUCAUCGGAAACUAUUUGGCUAGAGUCCGGAAGAGGAGAGUGGAAUUCCUGGUGUAGCGGUGAAAUGCGCAGAUAUCAGGAAGAACACCUAUGGCGAAAGCAGCUCUCUGGGACGGUACUGACGCUGAGACGCGAAAGCGUGGGGAGCGAACAGGAUUAGAUACCCUGGUAGUCC
rnacentral:rRNA from 1 species